UGGGGAAUAUUGGACAAUGGGGGGCAACCCUGAUCCAGCAAUGCCGCGUGUGUGAAGAAGGUCUUCGGAUUGUAAAGCACUUUCGACGGGGACGAUGAUGACGGUACCCGUAGAAGAAGCCCCGGCUAACUUCGUGCCAGCAGCCGCGGUAAUACGAAGGGGGCUAGCGUUGCUCGGAAUGACUGGGCGUAAAGGGCGUGUAGGCGGUUUACACAGUCAGAUGUGAAAUCCCCGGGCUUAACCUGGGAGCUGCAUUUGAUACGUGUAGACUAGAGUGUGAGAGAGGGUUUGUGGAAUU
rnacentral:rRNA from 1 species